rnacentral:lncRNA from 1 species
CUGUAUUAGUGUUAUGGUUUAUGCUAAGCAUGUAUAAUUUAAAAAAAAUGAGAGUAACUUUAAAAUGAUUUGGAAGAAAAAUAUGUACAUAUGUGAACAGUACUUAAUUCCAGGUGGUGGGAAUAUGGAUGACUGGUUAUCUUCUUCUUUCUGUAUCUUUCAUAUUUUUAAAUGGAAAAACUCAAUGACCUGGAAGUGAAAGAACAGAUUUGGAAGGGGUGUGGGGCAAGUGAGAGGAAAAUGCAAGAGAAGGACAAACCUAGUUCUGGCAGGAUUGUGUUUAAGUUGGAGGUUUCUAGGGAGCAGUUGUUGGGAUAAGAAGGAUAUGGGGAGGCAGGAGAAUCAUGAAAAUAUUUAGGACAGUGUGUUGCCUGUCAUAUUAUUCCUCCUCCUUUCCUGUUUCUUCAAAAGAAAUAUACAGACUUACACUUCUUUUCAAGCA